AUUGAACGCUGGCGGCAGGCCUAACACAUGCAAGUCGAGCGGAUGAAGGGAGCUUGCUCCUGGAUUCAGCGGCGGACGGGUGAGUAAUGCCUAGGAAUCUGCCUGGUAGUGGGGGAUAACGUCCGGAAACGGGCGCUAAUACCGCAUACGUCCUGAGGGAGAAAGUGGGGGAUCUUCGGACCUCACGCUAUCGGAUGAGCCUAGGUCGGAUUAGCUAGUUGGUGGGGUAAAGGCCUACCAAGGCGACGAUCCGUAACUGGUCUGAGAGGAUGAUCAGUCACACUGGAACUGAGACACGGUCCAGACUCCUACGGGAGGCAGCAGUGGGGAAUAUUGGACGAUGGGCGAAAGCCUGAUCCAGCCAUGCCGCGUGUGUGAAGAAGGUCUUCGGAUUGUAAAGCACUUUAAGUUGGGAGGAAGGGCAGUAAGUUAAUACCUUGCUGUUUUGACGUUACCAACAGAAUAAGCACCGGCUAACUUCGUG
rnacentral:rRNA from 1 species